rnacentral:miRNA from 8 species
CUCUAGAGGGAAGCACUUUAUC